UGGGGAAUAUUGCACAAUGGGCGCAAGCCUGAUGCAGCCAUGCCGCGUGUGUGAAGAAGGCCUUCGGGUUGUAAAGCACUUUCAGCGGGGAGGAAGGCGUUAAGGUUAAUAACCUUGGCGAUUGACGUUACCCGCAGAAGAAGCACCGGCUAACUCCGUGCCAGCAGCCGCGGUAAUACGGAGGGUGCAAGCGUUAAUCGGAAUUACUGGGCGUAAAGCGCACGUAGGCGGUCUGUCAAGUCGGAUGUGAAAUCCCCGGGCUCAACCUGGGAACUGCAUUCGAAACUGGCAGGCUAGAGUCUUGUAGAGGGGGGUAGAAUUCCAGGUGUAGCGAUGAAAUGCGUAGAGAUCUGGAGGAAUACCGGUGGCGAAGGCGGCCCCCUGGACAAAGACUGACGCUCAGGUGCGAAAGCGUGGGGAGCAAACAGG
rnacentral:rRNA from 1 species